GUCUACGGCCAUACCACCCUGAACGCGCCCGAUCUCUUCUGAUCUCGGAAGCUAAGCAGGGUCGGGCCUGGUUAGUACUUGGAUGGGAGUUUGCUAAGUGCUUUACAGA
rnacentral:rRNA from 1 species